rnacentral:lncRNA from 1 species
CGGACUGAUGCUUGGAUUGAUCCAAACACCACAAUUAGAUCACACGUAUAGCUGGUCAUAUACCUUUCAACCACACUACAAAGACAAUAGCUUACUUAUAGAGCUCAAAAUGAAUGGAAUUGGGAAGAAAUCCCCUUUAACCUUACAAGCCACUUAAUAAAACAUCAUCAAUAAGAUGAAUGUGCAUGUCUAUGCCACUAAAUUUGACACUAUAUGUUGGGGCUUAUCACAUCAAGAAAAAUUUACCGAGCAAUCAAUGUAUUCUAAUUUACUCCAACGGGACCUAACCAUAACAUCACACACACCCCAAUAUACUUGGCUUUGGAAAAUUCCGGUACCCUCCAAAAUAAAACUUUCCGAUGGCUUAUAAUGCACAGUAGUCUGCCUACAAGGUAAUAUUUGCACCAUAUAGGUAUUCUCAUAGAUGAUUAGUGCCAAAUAUGUAAUAGCGCUCAGGAAACUAUUAACCAUAUUCUUUUACACUGUUCAAACAUCCAAUAAAUGUGGACACGCUUGGGAUUAAUAGAUGUUAUUGACCACAUCAGUAGAUUUUCACACCCUUCCAAAUGGUUAAUGAAUCUUAUUAAAACAAAAAAAUCACAUGCCUUACCGUAUUAUAAUAAAACUAUUAUUUAUUACAAUUUAUGGCACAUUUGGCUUGUUUGUAACAAUCACAACUUUAAUUGUACACAACACCAGCUAUCUACUAAAUUGGUCACCACUGGAAUUACUUACUUGGCCACCAACAUAAAUUAAAUACGGAUGGGCUGCAUUAUCAGUAACUCACAAAGCACAUAUAAAGGGACUCAUACAUGAUUCAAAUAGAAAUUGGAUUACAGGAUUUGCAGGUAACAUUGCCACUUCAACCAACAUCCAUGCAGAACUACAAGUCCUCUUUCAUAGGCUGGAAUUGGCAACUACUCGCAAUUUGGUUCCUCUGAAAAUAAAUGUUGAUGCAUCAGAGGUACUAACACUGCUAAAAAUUGAUAACGUCAUUUAUACUAAUAUAAUCUCUGACUGCAGGCACCUCCUGGAUCAAUAGCAGUUGCGCAUGUCGACAGAGAGGGGAAUGAGGUGGCUGAUCUUUGGCUAAAGCAGGCUACAACAUGGCAACUGCUACGAGACCUACUGUUCUUGAAGAGCCACCGGAUAUUGUCAACACCAUUCUGCAAAUGAAUCAAGCAGGAGUCGUACGCUAUAGGAGGACGACAUGCAGAACAGCGGAACAAACUCUGGAUAUAGAACAAAACCCUUUUGUUGCCACCGGUGACGAACAUGCAACCACAACCCUCAAUGGCGUUACUAUAGCAGAGAACUCCAUUAGGCUAUGUAGUGUCCAUUCAUGGUUAGAAUGCGGGUUUCCGAGGACAUGGCCCUUGAUAGCAAAGUCUGGAGGUCUAGUAUCAG